rnacentral:rRNA from 1 species
UACGAGGGGAGCUAGCGUUAUUCGGAAUUACUGGGCGUAAAGCGCACGUAGGCGGCUUUGUAAGUUAGAGGUGAAAGCCCAGAGCUCAACUCUGGAAUUGCCUUUAAGACUGCAUCGCUUGAAUCCAGGAGAGGUGAGUGGAAUUCCGAGUGUAGAGGUGAAAUUCGUAGAUAUUCGGAAGAACACCAGUGGCGAAGGCGGCUCACUGGACCGGUAUUGACGCUGAGGUGCGAAAGCGUGGGGAGCAAACAGG